GCCAGACUUGGAACCGGGAGAGGUAAGAGGUACUACAGGGGUAGGAGUGAAAUCUUGUAAUCCCUGUGGGACCACCUGUGGCGAAGGCGUCUUACCAGAACGGGUUCGACGGUGAGGGACGAAAGCUGGGGGCACGAACCGGAUUAGAUACCCGGGUAGUCCCAGCCGUAAACGAUGCUCGCUAGGUGUCAGGCAUGGCGCGACCGUGUCUGGUGCCGCAGGGAAGCCGUGAAGCGAGCCACCUGGGAAGUACGGCCGCAAGGCUGAAACUUAAAGGAAUUGGCGGGGGAGCACAACAACGGGUGGAGCCCUGCGGUUUAAUUGGACUCAACGCCGGACAACUCACCGGGGGCGACAGCAAUAUGUAGGCCAAGCUGAAGACUUUGCCUGAAUCGCUGAGGAGAGGUGCAUGG
rnacentral:rRNA from 1 species